rnacentral:rRNA from 1 species
AGAGUUUGAUCAUGGCUCAGGACGAACGCUGGCGGCGCGCUUAACACAUGCAAGUCGAGCGAGAACCAGGCCUUCGGGCCUGGGGAAAGCGGCGAACGGGUGAGUAACACGUGGGUAACCCACCCUUGGUACCGGGAUAGCCCGGGGAAACCCGGAUUAAUACCGGAUGGCCCAACAGCUCUUCGGGGCGGUUGGAAAAGGUAGCUUCGGCCUCCGACCAAGGACGGGCCCGCGGCGGAUUAGCUUGUUGGUGGGGUAACGGCCCACCAAGGCGACGAUCCGUAGCUGGUCUGAGAGGACGAUCAGCCACACUGGGACUGAGACACGGCCCAGACUCCUACGGGAGGCAGCAGUGGGGAAUCUUGCGCAAUGGGCGAAAGCCUGACGCAGCGACGCCGCGUGGGGGAAGAAGGCUUUCGGGUUGUAAACCCCUUUCAGGAGGGACGAAGCCACUCGGGUGAAUAGCCCAGAGGGUGACGGUACCUCCAGAAGAAGCCCCGGCUAACUACGUGCCAGCAGCCGCGGUA